AACGGUCUAUACCUGCGGUACCUGCGGAGGGAUCAUUACAGAGUGUGACCCCCUGUAAAAAGGGGGGUACCUCCCGUCCUUUGCAGGCCCUUUAGGGUCUUUUACACUUUGCUUCGGUGGGGUAACCCACCGGAACACCCUCAAAAAUUCUGAUUUUAAAAUUGUUCAGUCUGAGAAUUUUGAAAAUAAAAUAAAAACUUUCAACAACGGAUCUCU
rnacentral:misc_RNA from 1 species